GAGGUUAAGCGACUAAGCGUACACGGUGGAUGCCCUGGCAGUCAGAGGCGAUGAAGGACGUGCUAAUCUGCGAUAAGCGUCGGUGAGGUGAUAUGAACCGUUAUAACCGGCGAUUUCCGAAUGGGGAAACCCAGUGUGUUUCGACACACUAUCAUUAACUGAAUCCAUAGGUUAAUGAGGCGAACCGGGGGAACUGAAACAUCUAAGUACCCCGAGGAAAAGAAAUCAACCGAGAUUCCCCCAGUAGCGGCGAGCGAACGGGGAGCAGCCCAGAGCCUGAAUCAGUGUGUGUGUUAGUGGAAGCGUCUGGAAAGGCGCGCGAUACAGGGUGACAGCCCCGUACACAAAAAUGCACAUGCUGUGAGCUCGAUGAGUAGGGCGGGACACGUGGUAUCCUGUCUGAAUAUGGGGGGACCAUCCUCCAAGGCUAAAUACUCCUGACUGACCGAUAGUGAACCAGUACCGUGAGGGAAAGGCGAAAAGAACCCCGGCGAGGGGAGUGAAAAAGAACCUGAAACCGUGUACGU
rnacentral:rRNA from 1 species